UACGGGGGGGGCAAGCGUUGUUCGGAAUUACUGGGCGUAAAGCGUGCGCAGGCGGUUCGUUGUGUCGGCGGGGAAAGCCCCGGGCUUAACCUGGGAAUGGCCGUUGAAACUGGCGAACUGGAGUGUGGCAGAGGGGGGUGGAAUUCCGCGUGUAGCAGUGAAAUGCGUAGAGAUGCGGAGGAACACCGAUGGCGAAGGCAGCCCCCUGGGCUAACACUGACGCUCAGGCACGAAAGCGUGGGGAGCAAACAGG
rnacentral:rRNA from 1 species